UCCGUGAGCUGGGGGUGGCCGCAGAGACCAGCGAGAAGCGACUGUUUACUAAAAACACAGGUCCGUGCGAAGCCGUAAGGCGAUGUAUACGGACUGACGCCUGCCCGGUGCUGGAACGUUAAGGGGACCGGUUAGCUUGGAUUCGUCCAGGCGAAGCUGAGAACUUAAGCGCCAGUAAACGGCGGUGGUAACUAUAACCAUCCUAAGGUAGCGAAAUUCCUUGUCGGGUAAGUUCCGACCUGCACGAAUGGCGUAACGACUUCUCGACUGUCUCAACCAUAGGCCCGGUGAAAUUGCACUACGAGUAAAGAUGCUCGUUUCGCGCAGCAGGACGGAAAGACCCCGGGACCUUUACUACAGUUUGAUAUUGGUGUUCGGUUCGGCUUGUGUAGGAUAGCUGGGAGACUUUGAAGCUCGCACGCCAGUGUGGGUGGAGUCGUCGUUGAAAUACCAGUCUGGUCGUGCUGGAUGUCUAACCUGGGUCCGUGAUCCGGAUCAGGGACAGUGUCUGAUGGGUAGUUUAACUGGGGCGGUUGCCUCCUAAAGGGUAACGGAGGCGCCCAAAGGUUCCCUCAGCCUGGUUGGCAAUCAGGUGUUGAGUGUAAGUGCACAAGGGAGCUUGACUGUGAGACCGACGGGUCGAGCAGGGACGAAAGUCGGGACUAGUGAUCCGGCGGUGGCUUGUGGAAGCGCCGUCGCUCAACGGAUAAAAGGUACCCCGGGGAUAACAGGCUGAUCUUCCCCAAGAGUCCAUAUCGACGGGAUGGUUUGGCACCUCGAUGUCGGCUCGUCGCAUCCUGGGGCUGGAGUCGGUCCCAAGGGUUGGGCUGUUCGCCCAUUAAAGCGGUACGCGAGCUGGGUUUAGAACGUCGUGAGACAGUUCGGUCCCUAUCCGCUGUGCGCGUAGGAGUCUUGAGAAGGGCUGUCCCUAGUACGAGAGGACCGGGACGGACGAACCUCUGGUGUGCCAGUUGUUCUGCCAAGGGCAUGGCUGGUUGGCUACGUUCGGGAGGGAUAACCGCUGAAAGCAUCUAAGCGGGAAGCCUGCUUCGAGAUGAGGACUCCCACCUCCUAGAGAGGGUAAGGCUCCCAGUAGACGACUGGGUUGAUAGGCCAGAUAUGGAAGCCGGGUAACCGGUGGAGUUGACUGGUACUAAUAGGCCGAGGGCUUGUCCUCAGUUG
rnacentral:rRNA from 1 species